GUGAAAUCUCGCGAUACUCAGAGUGGUGAUGUUCCACUGAAAGCUGCUUAGUCGAGCGUUUGACGCUUCUUUGAGCGAUGCGAGCUAUUGAAUCCUAAUUAUCAGCAUGAGCUGUAAGUAAGCGCAUCCAGUUAUCAGUAAAUGUCAGUAAUGGAGGUGAGUUCGGGCUGUCCGUCUCCUAAAGAGGAGGGUGAGCUGGAAGACGGGGAAAUCUUCGACGACGAGCCGCAGAGGCGGCGGCAGAACGCGCGGCCUCCGCGACGCGCCCGCCCCAGUCGACCCAUGAUGAACAAGAGAGCGCGUUUACCGGGACCCAUGCUCAACAACAGCGCCCCGGUGCCGCUGAGAGCUGUUCAUCCGCCCUUCCCCUCCGGCCUCCGGCAGGCGUUCGACUCAGCGCCGCGCUCCGGCUUCUGGGAGCGCAGUCACGGCGCGCUGGGCCGCUUCAGAUAUCGCGCACACAGAGCGUCAGACUGGACGCGAGACUGGACGGAGCGAUUCGCGGAGAAUCACGGCUGCAGAACCGACUCGCCGAGCAGGAAACAGAAAGCAGGCAGCAGGUGUCAGACGCGGAGGGUGGUGACCAGCGUCCCUAAAGCCGAGACCAUGGACGAGAGCUUCGAGGAUCUGCUGCUGAAGUACAAACAGAUCCAGCUGGAGCUCGAAUGCAUCCGGAAGGAGGAGCGGAUGGCCCUGAAAGAGGAGGACGAGCCUCCCGCUGACCCCGUCCCGCCGCCCGAGGAGCCCGUCUCUGCUGUGAAGGAGGAGAAGAAAGUGUUUCAGGCGUUCAACAUCAGGCCGCUCAGACAGAAGCUGCUGACACCCAGCGAUCGAGACGCUCUCAACAGCAGAAGCGCACAGGACGGAGACGGAGGGGAGAAGGACGCCAGUCAGGAUGACGCUGUAAAGGAUGAGGAGUCCGAAUCAGACCUCAACAUCUCUGCAGUGAGUGACGAGACCCCAGUCGUCCACAAGAAGGAGGAUGAGGACGACCUGUCGGAGCUGCAGCUGCGUCUCCUGGCUCUGCAGUCGGCCAGCAGGAGGUGGCAGCAGAAGGAGCAGCAGGUGCUGAAGGAGAGCAAGGAGAAGAUCACCAAAGCUGUUAAAGCGCCUCAGGACAAGAGCGAGGCUCCGUGCGACAGGAACAAGAUGAGCGGAAACAGAGGGAACGCUGUGUGCAGGCUGCAGGAGAGAGCGAGACCUGCCAAACCUGCUCCGGACAAGAGCAGAGCGAGGAAACCGGCCCACCUGACCAAGCAGGCCUGGAGGAAACAGCAGCUGCGCACCUGGAAACUGCAGCAGCAGAGGCAGCAGGAGGAGCAGAGGAGCAAGCAAGAGGAAGAGGAGGAGAGGAGGAAGAGAGAGGACGAGAUUCGGAAGAUCAGAGACCUGUCCAAUCAGGACGAACAGUACAACCGCUUCAUGAAGCUGGUGGGCUCCAGACAUCGCUCCCGCAGCAAGUCUGCAGAUGCUGAUCAGAGGAAACUGGUCAAGCAGAGUCUGGACACAUCGGGGAAUCUCUACCAGUACGAUAACUACGAUGAGGUGGCUAUGGAUACGGACAGCGAAACCAACUCGCCAGCCACGUCUCCGACACACGACGCGCUGCCUGUGUUUCCUCUGGAAUCCACACCUCUCAGACAGUGGAAAUGUCAUCCUGUGCUCAUAUGUCAGGGUGUGGGGCAGCACUACCUGCAGCAGAUGGAGCUUGUGCGGUUGACUCCUCCUCCUCCUCUGCCUCCGCUGCCGCCCCCCGAUGAAGCGGAGCAGCCGCCGAAGCCGCCGUUUGCUGACGAGGAGGAGGAAGAGGAGAUGCUGCUGAGAGAAGAGCUGCUCAAGUCCUUGGCCAGCAAACGAGCUGUAAAGGCAGAGGACGCGUCCAGCAGCAGUGGGCCACCCUCUCCCGCUCUCAGACCCACGGCUCUGCCGAACACCAGGAACAACCUCACGGCCGUCAGUCUCAACACUGUCAUCUCUCACGCUCGGGCACUCAAGUUCAUACGGGCACAGCCUGCCCCCAAAGCCCCGUUUGUGCUGCCGCGACACAAGAGUGUGGUGGUGCGUCUGAACGCGUCUGACGACAGCGACUCUGACGACGAGAGCUGCGGCCCCGCUCAGAGUGUGUUUGGAGGACUGGAGUCCAUGAUUAAAGAAGCUCGGAGGACAGUAGAGGCAGCCAAACCGAAGCAUUCAGUUUCAGAGAAGGAGAACAACCCAGUGAAGAGUGCAGAAGCACUUCCUGAUGCCAAGAAGAUGGAGUAUCGGCUGUUCAGAGACGACAUGGCCAGUCUGGAGAAGCAGAGAUCGGGCCGGCUGGAGUUUGUGGGGGGCGUCCCCUCUCCCGCGGGCUCGGACUCUGACCUGGACAUCCUGGGAAGAGCAGCAGAUCUGCAAGAGAAGCUGAAUCAGCACAAAAUGCAACUGUGUAAAGACGAGGCUCUGCUGAAGCAGCUCCUGCAGCAGGAAAUGAAGAAGAAAGAGUCUCUGAAAGCAGCCGAGGGGAAGGUGACCCGACUCAAGGAGCAGCUGCUGGCGUCAGAGAAGAUUGUGAGUGCCAACAGAGUGUUGCUGAAGAAGCUGCAGGAGCAGGUUCAAAGAGUCCAGCACCGUGUGAGCGUGAAGAAGCAGCAGUCGGUGAAGCUGGAGAGAGAUCUGGUUCAGGCGCAGGCCGCUGCAGCUCCUGCCGUGCUCAAACGCAAUGCAUCUGCCGCCAUCUACUCCCCGGUGAAGGUGCGGCGUGUGGAUCGCUCCGAUGUGCAUUACGCAGAGCUCAUCGCGCAGAAGAAGCGCCUGCAGCAGCUGGAGUCAGAAUACGCCCUCAAGAUUCAGAAGCUCAAAGAGGCCCAGGCGUUACGGCAAGCCGAGCCGCGGCCCGCCGCCCCACAGAUGCCCAGCACACUCUACCCGUUCCCGCAGCCCUCGCUUCAUGACCUGACCCAGGACAAGCUGGCACUGUCCAGCGAGGACGUGGAGGCCGAGGAGGACGAGCAGCAGCAGCAGACUCCCGCCUCAGUGACGCCCCGUAACCGUCGGCGGUCGUUCCGAGAGUCCGGCUCCUUCACCAAACCCAAGCUGUGCCAUCUGGAGACGCCCGCUGCUUCACCCAUGCCCCUCAAACAGGCCAAAGCGUCCUGCAGCACAGCCGGUCUGCCAGAGCUGCUGCUGGGGCUGAACGUGGAGGAUCUGCGGCAGCGGUACCAGCUGUGUGCCGGGCUCCCUGAGCUCCUGCAGGAGGAGAUGCGCUCGCUCAGCUGGGCUCCCGGGAAGGUCGUGCAGGUGGACUUUGAUCCAAUGGCAGCUCAUCAGAGCCGAGCGGAGCCAAAACCAGAACCGUUUGGACCGUAUCACAGUCCUUUACUAGUCUUCAAAUCAUACAGGUUCAGCCCGUAUUACCGGACCAAAGAGAAGCUUUCCCUCCGCUCCGUCACCUUCAGCAACACCAUCGAGCCAAAGAAGCGCUUCUGUCGCUUCGAUCUGACCGGCACGUGUAACGAUGACGAUUGCACAUGGCAGCACAUGAGGGACUGCAGCCUCACAGAGAGCCAGCUGUUUCAGGACGUCCUGUCCUACAGCCUGCCUCUGAUUGGCUGCGCGGACACCAGCAGCACCGGUGACAUCAGCAGUGCCACAGAGAAAUAUAUGAAGAAACUGUUUGGGCCCAAUAAGGACCGGAUGGGGACGGACCAGAAGGCUGUUCUGCUCGUGAGCAAAGUCAACGAGAGAUUGAGACACAUUCCUCCCUUCACCACGAAUAAAUCCCAGAGGAAAUGGAGACCGGAAGCUCAGAAAGUGAAAACGCACGUUCCGGAAGAUGAAGACCUCAACCCUGUGGACGUGACUGUCCCCGUCUGUCACAACGGGCGCGUCCAGGAGCGCUGGUCAUCGGCUGAUGUGUGUGUCACGCAGGACGAUAAGAGAUACUUCGACAGCGAGACGGAUGACAUCAGUAACCUGGAGACCAGUGUGCUGGAGAGUCCCAGCGACGUGCAGCUGUGGAUCAAACUGGCCUUCAAAUACCUCAACCAGAAAGACACCUCUGUGGCAGAGUGUCUGGACGCGGCGCUGAACACGCUGUCCCGUGCACUGGAGGACAACCGCGAGGACACUGAGGUGUGGUGUCACUAUCUGACGCUGUUCUCGCGGCGCGGCAGCAGAGAAGAGGUUCAGGAGAUGUGUGAGAUGGCCGUGGAGCACGCGCCGCACUAUGACGUCUGGUGGACUUGCAUGAGCGUUGAGAGCGGUUUCGAGGGGAAGGAUUAUGUGUGUGGGCGUCUGGUUUCACACCUGCUGGAGGCGUCACAUGACGUCCGGUCGGAUGUGCAGUCGUUUCAGCUGCUGGAGUCAGUGCUGUUCAGAGUUCAGCUCAGUGUGUUCACAGGCCGUCAGCACAACGCUCUCAGCAUACUCAAGAGUGCGCUGCAUUCGGGCUCUGAUUCGAGCGUUGCGGAUCAUCUGACUGUGGCCGACCGUUGUCUGAUGUGGCUGUCUUAUAUCCACCUGACUGAAUUCAGACGUCUGCCGGCGUGUUUGUACGACCCUGCCAGCUCCAACCCCUCCAGAAUCACGUGCACAGAUCCCUUCCUCAUUCCCUGGAGAACGGCCCAAGAGCUCCGUAUACCCGCUGACAUCAUCGUCAGCCUGUUCAGAGAUGCUGUGUGUGGCUGCACGGAUGAGCGUUUGUGUUCCAGUGAGCAGAUUCAGUCCUGUUUCCCUCUGCACUCAAACCUCAUUCAUCUGUACAGGACACUAGACAGAUGUCAAGAAGCUCUUGCGCUGUGUGAGCGUCUGCUGGCGGUGUGUCCGCUCUACUGCCCUCUGCUGGAGGUCACCGGUGAGCUGCACCUGUCCUCAGGGGACACCGAGAAAGCUGAAGAGCUGUGGAGACGUGCUCAUUCUCUCAGUGCCAGCAGCGCUCGCGUUUUCCACCAGCUCUGCAAGUGUUUGCUCGCUCAGGGGAGCGUCAGUGUUAUGGAAGAGCUCUUUGACAAGUUCAUGCACUCUUUCUGUGAAUCUGUGCAAGAUCAGCUGAAGUCGCUGGAUGUGUUACGCCAUAUUCUUGGUGUUCCUACACAAGACUUGCUGAGAGUUCCAGCUCUCAAAGAUGAUCUUCAGGACGAGAUCAGAGCUCAGCUGCCGUACCUGCAUCUCCUGCACUGUUUCUGGCAGUCUACCUACGGCGUUGUGAGAGAGGCCAUUGAUGCGUUUGAGAAAGCUUUGGGAAUGAUUACAAAGCUGGAGUUAAUUCACACCCUCUGGCUAGACUAUCUGUCCUUCGCCAGCAGUAAGAUGUUGGCGCCGCAGCCGAGUGUUCGCGAGCUGAAGAUGUUUACAAGUCUGGUGCACCGCUGUCUGGAGACUGUGCCGAGCAGACUCACCCUGCCCUUCAGCUCCUCACAAUACUGGAGCUGCUUCAGCUUCCAUAACAAGGUCAUAUCCUUCUAUUUGGGUUGUUUCCCUCAAUCCCAACAUUCCCUUAUCCUGGAAAGACUUCAGCAUAUCAUGCCAACCAAUACUGAACUGGCCAUAAGGUUGCUGCAGCAAGAAUGGCAGGAUGGCAAUGUUGAACAUUUUAAAUUGCAAAGCAGAAUGUUGUGCUGUAGCGUCCCAACCUGUCUGGCCAUCUGGAAAAUAGCUAUUGCUGUUGAGAAGGAGCAAAGGCAAAGAGCAGAGGUCCAGCGGCUGUAUCAGCAGGCGCUCCAGAAACUGCCUCUGUCUGCUGCUCUCUGGAAAGAUUGUUUGCUCUUUGAGGCUGCUGAAGGAGGUAAAACUGACACACUGAAAAAAAUAAUUGACAAGUGCCAAGAGGUGGGAGUGAGUCUAAAUGAGCCGCUAGGGUUAGAGCCGAGCCAAGCCGAGUGACACGAGCAGCACAUUCCCAGAACAAGAGUACAUGCUUCCAUUAAACCUCCACAGACACGCAGACACGCAUCUUAGCUUAGACCCGAGUCAGUAUUACGAGCAGAAAUCCAGUGAGGACACAAUGAGCUACCCAUAAUCCAGUAUGUGGGCCUCUUUUAUCAUCAUUUGUUGACGGACUGUGACUGUUUUUAAGGUGGCUUGCUUCCUUCCUCUAAAUUUACAUCAGUUUAUUUGGUUUCUCAUGGUGUCUCAACCAUGUCUCGUGAAGAAUGACAUUAACUCCGCUUGAGAGUUUAAGGGCUCAGCACCAAGGUUUUUUUUUUUCUUUUUUCUUCUUUUUUCUUUCUUUUUCUUUUUUUCUACUCCCCCCUCCAACCAUGGAUUGAAAUGGCUGUUAUUGGAAGUAUUCUGUUUGGCUCACCGGUGUCAGAGUAUUGAUGGAAACUUCUCCACAGACUGCCAAAUCUCGCCGACACUCAAUAUGUCUGUAGUCGUGGACUGCACCAAAAGACAUCAUUAAACUGUUCAUGUAAUAUUGUUUCUUCACAAAUUAAAACAAAAUCCAUGUGUGUAUGUUUUUGUGUGUGUGUGUGUGUGUGUGUGUGUGAGUAUGCACACACACACACACACACACGCAUGUUGAUUAACGUAUUCUGCAGGAUUGAUACUGACACCUGUUUGUUUUUUCUUUCAAUUUAUAAUUGAACAAUGU